rnacentral:rRNA from 1 species
UACGAAGGGGGCAAGCGUUGUUCGGAAUUACUGGGCGUAAAGCGCACGUAGGCGGGUCGUUGAGUCGGGGGUGAAAUCCUGGAGCUCAACUCCAGAACUGCCUUCGAUACUGGAGAGCUUGAGUCCGGGAGAGGUGAGUGGAACUGCGAGUGUAGAGGUGAAAUUCGUAGAUAUUCGCAAGAACACCAGUGGCGAAGGCGGCUCACUGGCCCGGUACUGACGCUGAGGUGCGAAAGCGUGGGGAGCAAACAGG